AAUGGAGCCACUGAAGGGGCCUUGAAGGAUGGUUAGGAUUUAGACAGAUGGAGUAGGUGCUAGGUCCUUUAGAUGAGGCAGCAAAGUGUCCAAAACGUAUUCAGGUGACAAGAAAUAGACAAGUCAGAAAGAAUAGGGUUGGAGGAGACAGGCUGUCUUAGAGAAAGAUUGAGCUCCCUGUGUCAAUAUACAUGGAUACAUGAUACUAGUUGCUAAUAUUUAUUGAACUUUGUAUUUAAUUCUGCCAUGAGAUUUUCUCCCCAUUGGUACCUAGGCUGAGAAGCUGGAAGAGCAGAGCCAUCUUCUAGCAAGAUUAGUCUCGUCAGAAUGCCACCACCACAGCCGCAGUACCUGCCAUGAGGGGAUCCCAGCCCUCCCUUUGUGUCUGUUAUACUCACUCAAGAGUCCAAAUUGUAGGAUGGGCUUCUGGUUGCCAGACUCUGGCCCAGUGCCUGGGCCCAGGCUGCCAGAGAUAGAGAGAGAAAGAGGAUCGCUCUGCUUUGUCAUCUGUAGUCACAGACCAGGUCAUGUGACACUCCUGCUCCCAAACAGAAGGAGGGUUCAACAUCGCACAGUAAAAAUGACAAAUGUCCACUACCUUCUGUAACCCCAUGGAAGGGGACAAUUCGGUUAUAACAUUUGUAGUGACAGAAGCAAGGACUAGGAUUAGAAUUAAUGUAGAGGAGGGGAAUUAGUUAUUUCUCAGAGACUUGGGGGGAUGGUAUAAUGGUAGGCCUCAUGGUGGAAUAGCCCCUUAAAUAAAGUUUUGAAGGAUAAAUGGGUAAGAAUCAUCAAGGCCGACGAUAACAGGUCCAGACACAAGUGAGCGUCUAUGGAGGUACAGAUGUGUGAAACAGCACUGAGUGAGAUUCAUCGGGAACACAACAAGGACGUGGGUCCAACAUGGCAGCUGCUCUCAGCGAGCACAGCUGAUUGGACUGACUGAGAGAUGGAGAGGCACUGAACAGCGUCAAGUAGAGGCCUCACUAUUCUCAUCUUUAAGAUGCUUUGGAUGGAUAAGAUCAUCUUAAUGUAGUCCAUUCUACCUUUGAAGUUCUAGGACUUAGUCGCCCCAAAGGAAGAUCGGAGUACAAGUAUAAAAGGCUUUCAAUUCCAGGUGUGUGACAGGCACUGGGCUAAGCUCUGGAAACACACCCAUGAACUGGCUAUGCCUUCAAGGAGCUGAAAAUGUUUCCAAUGGACUCACAAGUAGCAGCCCUGUCCUGGGAAUUGUUGAUGCAGCAGUAAACAAAACACCAUCCUGCUUUCAAUGAUGUCAGAAUAUAAUGCCAAAGUAACAAGAAAAGAAACCAUUGAAAUACA